rnacentral:rRNA from 1 species
CGGAAUCUGCCUAUUUGUGGGGGAUAACGUAGGGAAGCUUACGCUAAUACCGCAUACGACCUACGGGUGAAAGCGGAGGACCUUCGGGCUUCGCGCAGAUAGAUGAGCCGAUGUCGGAUUAGCUAGUUGGCGGGGUAAAGGCCCACCAAGGCGACGAUCCGUAGCUGGUCUGAGAGGAUGAUCAGCCACACUGGAACUGAGACACGGUCCAGACUCCUACGGGAGGCAGCAGUGGGGAAUAUUGGACAAUGGGCGCAAGCCUGAUCCAGCCAUGCCGCGUGGGUGAAGAAGGCCUUCGGGUUGUAAAGCCCUUUUGUUGGGAAAGAAAAGCAGUCGGUUAAUACCCGAUUGUUCUGACGGUACCCAAAGAAUAAGCACCGGCUAACUUCGUGCCAGCAGCCACGGUAAUACGAAGGGUGCAAGCGUUACUCGGAAUUACUGGGCGUAAAGCGUGCGUAGGUGGUUUGUUAAGUCUGAUGUGAAAGCCCUGGGCUCAACCUGGGAAUUGCAUUGGAUACUGGCAGGCUAGAGUGCGGUAGAGGGUAGUGGAAUUCCCGGU